AUUUAGUACUAUUUUUUCAAAUGAAUUACUUCUAUUUGUAUUACUGUCACAUUUUUGAGAGGUGAAUGCAAGUACGCAUUUCACUGUACUGUGUACACCAUGUGUAUCCUGUGCAUGUGACAAAUAAACUUCACUUGACUUGAAGUAAUUACUAUAUGGGGCCAAAUGGUGCCAUUUUGGAUUUGUUGAACAUCUCAUUCCAACGUCAUGGGCAUUAAUAUGAAGUUGGUCCCCCCUUUGCUGCUAUAACAGCCUCCACUCUUCUGGGAAGGCUUUCCACUAGAUGUUGAAACAUUGCUGUGGUGACUGAUGUUGUGCGAUUAAGCCUGGCUCGCAGUUGACGUUCCAAUUCAUCCCUAAGGUGUUCUGUGAGGUUGCGGUCAGGGCUCUGUUCAUGCCAGUCAAGUUCUUCCACACCAAUCUCAACAAACUAUUUCUGUAUGGACCUCACUUUGUGCAUUGUCAUGCUGAAAGAGGAAAAGGCCUUCCCCAAACUGUUGCCGCAUUCACCUAGCAUCCAACAAACCCAGAUUAAUCCGGUGGACUGCCAGAUGGUGAAGCGUGAUUCAUCACUCCAGAGAACGCGCUUCCACUGUUCCAGAGUCCAAUGACGGCGAGCUUUACACCACUCCAUCCAACGCUUGGGAUUGCGCAUCGUGAUCUUAGGCUUGUGUGCAGGUGCUACGCGCUUCAACAGUUGGUGGUCCCAUUCUGUGAGCUUGUUAGGCCUACCACUGAGCCGUUGUUGCUGCUAGAUGUUUCCACUUUAAAAUAACAGCACUUACAGUUGAAUGGGGCAGCUCUAGCAGGGCAGAAAUGUGACAAACUGAUUUGUUGGGAAGGUAGCAUCCUAUGACGGUGCCACGUUGCCUAUGACAGUGCCAAGUCACUGAGUUCUUCAGUAAGGCCAUUCUAAUGCCAAUGGAGAUUGCAUGGCUGUGUGCUAAAUGUUAGACACCUGUCAGCAAUGGGUGUGGCUGAAAUAGCCAAAUCCACUUAUUUGAAGGGGUGUCCACAUACUUUUGAAUAGAUAGUGUACCUCAUCAAAGGCAUUUUUCAGACAGGUGUUUGUGAAGAAAAAAAAAAGUAGGUCAGAAAGACCAUAAGUUGCGAUCUGUUGCCUUUGUCGGUCAUUUGGAAGAAGUGAACAAUCAGGUAUAUACAUUUCUGUUAAUAGGUUUCUUCUUUAAAAAACUGCCUGAAGCAAGCACUGUAAGUUAUGAUCCUUACUGGCCAUUGCUUUGAUGUGGGAUGUUCCUGUAUCAUCCAUUAGAUGACAAUGUUGAGUGCAAUUAAUGUAACCAACAUUAACCCAGUUCAAAUGAACUGUAGCAUAAUGAAGCUAAUUUAACAUUUAAAUUAUUUUAUGCAUAUAAUACACCAUAGACAUGGGCCUAUAUGGUUUGGUUAUUUCUUCAGCAUAAAACACGAAUAUUGACAGUGAUUGAAUCCAAUAUCUCUUAAGAAGAUAACCUUUUCGGUAUCUCUAAAGAUAAUAUUUGCCUAAUAAUUGUAUAUUUUUCAAAAUUCUGACCUUCACAGGUUUCAGGUAAGCCUAUUAAAAUGUACUCAGACAAUACAUUUUAUUUUCUCAGCGUUGACAGGCAAGAUGCGUCGACUUGUAGUCCUAGUAACGCCAUGAGAGAUGGGUGCUUCGUGGACCACUUUUCUUCAUAAAAAUCGAGAGAUGGCGUCCUGCACCCCGUGAAUAAUCAAAAAUGAUCAUAAAGAAUUGAUGAAGAGAUCACUCUACCGUAAUGUAUCAUUAUGCUACGACCCCUCAAUUGAAGUAGGCUAAUAAUCGUCAUCUUUCACUGAUAGAAACAGCAUUUGUUUUGGGGUUGAUUCCGCUGCGUUUGUUUCAGCAUCCUCCAACUUCCGCCUCUGCGUGUCCAACGCCAGGAGACAGGGAGAGAAGGGCGAUGGCUGCCGGUGGAGGAUGCGGGGAGACUGUGGAUCAGUACCGGGCGAACGUGGAGCGGCUUACCCAGGAACUUGCGGAAGCGAACAGAGAGAAGAUAAGGGCGGCAGAAUGCGGUCUUGUUGUGUUGGAUGAGAACCAGACUCUGAAGCACCAGUAUGCCGAUCUGGAAUCGGAACAGGAGACGCUGAAGCAAGAGUUGGAACAAUUACAAGAGGCGUUUGGCCAGGCAUACUCCAACCAGCGUAAGGUCGCGGAGGAUGGCGAGAUCAACGAGGAGUCGCUGCUGCAGGAGUCAGCGUCAAAGGAGGCCUUCUACAUGGGCCAGCUGCUGGAGCUGCAGACAGAUCUGAAGCUGAGCCGCUCCGUGGCGUCCAACGCGUCCAACGAGAGCGAGAGGCUUAACGCCGUGCUUCAGGAGCACAAAGAGAGUAAUGAGAUGCUGGAGCUGCAGGGGAGCAGGAUGAGAGAGGAAAUCAGGGAGUAUAAGUUCAGAGAGGCGCGACUCCUACAGGACUACACUGAGCUGGAGGAGGAGAACAUCACCCUGCAAAAACUAGUGUCCACCCUCAAACAGAACCAGGUGGAGUAUGAGGGUCUGAAGCAUGAGAUCAAGGUUCUGGAGGAGGAGACAGUGCUGCUGAACAGCCAGCUGGAGGAUGCUGUGCGUCUGAAGGACAUCUCUCAGUCCCAGCUGGAGGAGGCUCUGGAUGCCCUGAAAAUUGAGAGGGAACAGAAGAACAGCCUGAGGAAGGAGCUGGCCCACCACAUCACCCUCAGCGACAGUGUGUAUGGUGCCGGAGCCCACCUGGCUCUCACCGCCACUGUUGACGGGCUCAAAUUUGCCACCGAAGAGGUCGGGAGUAAUGGUACAGCCAUGCAUAAUGGAGCCAACGGGAAUGAGGAUAGCAACGGCCACUGUAAUGGGCACCUGGGAUUGGCCAAGAUGAACGGCGACUACCGGCUGCCCAGGAAGGGGGAGGGGCUGCAUGGUCCUGUGUCUGACCUCUUCAGCGAGCUCAACCUGUCUGAGAUGCAGAAAGUAAAAAAGCAGCUGUUUCAGGUGGAGCGUGAGAAGUCAAGCCUCCUGAUGAACCUGCAGGAGUCACAGACCCAGCUGCAGCACAUGCAGAGCGCCCUGACGGAGCAACACGAGAACGUCCAACGCCUCACCGAACGCGUCAACGUCAUGAAGCACCUCCAAAGUGACAAGGAGAUGGCUGAUUCUCAGGAGUCUGAGAAGUCCAACGGGUCGCCCUCACCCUGUCACCGCGACGACAAGGUGGACAUCCACGGGAUGGACAUCCUGGAGUGUAAGUACAAGGUGGCAGUAACCGAGGUGAUCGACCUGAAGGCGGAGCUAAAAGCCCUGAAGGAGAACUAUAACCAGUGUGUGGAGGGCCAGGGGGAGGAGCGGAGCAGCAAUGAUGGGAAGGUCCAGGCUCUGGAUGAGCAGGUCAACCGGCUGGAGCAGAGCUGCCACGAUUCCCACGAUAGGGUGGCGUGUUUGGAGGCGGAACUAAAGACGGCCUCAGAGAGCCACAGCAUGCUGAACACAGCGCAGGACGAGCUGGUAACAUUCAGCGAGGAGCUGGCCCAGCUCUACCACCACGUGUGUCUCUGCAACAAUGAGACGCCCAACCGCGUCAUGCUGGACUACUACCGCCAGAGCCGUAACACCCGCAGCGGCAGCCUCAAGGGCUCCGAGGACCCCCGGGCACUCCUCUCCCCCCGCCUGGCUAGACGGCUCGCCGCCAUCAACGCUGGAUUCACCGAGACCCCACGGAGCCCCAUAGACUCGCCCUCCAAAGAAUCCCCCAGUGGGGACAACGGGGAAACAGGGAGGGAGUCCCCAGCACCAGGCAGCCAGGGGAGCCCAACCCGCUCCCUCAUGGGCUCCCCGGUCAUCAACGGCACCAACGGCCCUUCCUCCUCCUCCCCCGUGCCUCCCGAGGCAAGUGGAGAUCUGCGUAAGGAGCCCAUGAACAUCUACAACCUGAACGCCAUCAUCAGGGACCAGAUCAAACACCUGCAGAGAGCCGUGGACCGCUCCCUCCAGCUGUCUCGACAGAGGGCAGCCGCCCGGGAGCUGGCCCCCUUGUUCGACAAGGACAAGGAGGCUUGCAUGGAGGAAAUCCUCAAGCUCAAGUCCCUCCUCAGCACCAAGAGGGAGCAGAUUGCCACGCUAAGACUGGUGCUCAAAGCCAACAAACAGACAGCAGAGGUGGCGCUGGCUAAUCUAAAGAGCAAGUAUGAGAAUGAGAAGUGCAUGGUGACAGAGACCAUGAUGAAGCUGAGGAACGAGCUGAAGGCUCUGAAGGAGGACGCUGCCACCUUCUCCUCUCUCAGGGCCAUGUUCGCCACCAGGUGUGAUGAGUACGUGACUCAGCUGGAUGAGAUGCAGAGACAGCUGGCAGCAGCGGAGGAUGAGAAGAAGACCCUGAACUCCCUGCUCCGCAUGGCCAUCCAGCAGAAGCUGGCCUUGACCCAACGCCUGGAGGACCUGGAGUUUGACCACGAACAGACCAGGGACCGCGGCCGCGGCACAAAGGUGCCCAAGAUCAAGAACAGCCCGCCCAAAAUUGUCAGCAGCCUGCUGCCUCUGCCUCAGUAUCGUCACCCUCCCCACAACUAAGAGCCUCCAUAGCCUGCAGAACUAACUAGUUCAUCUCACUACAGUCCCCAACCUCAGCCCUCUAUAACCCACCCAUACAUCCAUGUCCGAGUCCGAACAUUGUGACAGCCCUCCAGGAGGACCAGACACCACCCCUCUCCAGCAGUAGCAGAGGCCCCCUGGAUCCACUCAACAGCCUGGUCCAGCAGCAUCACCCCCCAGGUCCCUAGGCAUUUAGCCAGUGCGGCCCUACCCAUGGGCCCAGGCCUCCUGGAGACACACAGCACCAGAAACUCCUGUCUCCCAUCUCACUCAACCUGGCAUCCCACUUCUGUGUUCCCUCAGUAAGCCCCGCCUCCACAGGCCACACUUUCUCCUGGUUGGUCGGGUUACAGAGAAGAUGAGGGUUGCGGUGCUCCUCACUGGUUGGGCUGGAAUUCCGUCAGAUCCUGUCCAGAAAAGAUAGACUGGAGGACCGGACUGCAGUGCACACGCCAGACUAGCAAAUAUGAUUAACUUAAACAAUGUAUUGUAUCUAUAUGAUUAUUUAUUAUCUAUUUAACUGACUUGGUUAUUUAUUGAUUUGUGUUUUGUUCAUAUUUGUGUUUUGUGAUAUCAUUUGAUUGUUGUUGGUCAUUCUUUAAAAUGAAAUUCAAAAUGAGUAUUAUUGCUGUGGUGUUUAGACUUACUAAACUAUGGCUGUUAUGUUCUCAUUGACAUCGUCAAAAAAUAAAAACAUUUGACAUAUUUCCAAUUGAAUAUAACAAGGUUUUGGAUGGUCUAUGUCCUACAAGUUUAGCAUCACAUUUUCUGUCAAUAACAAUGUUUCCUUUUGGUGAUGUGGGAUGCUUACAAACUUGCCUAACAGACCAGACAGAAUAUUAGCCAUGUAAAAGCAUCAGUUGGUAAGGAUCAUCUCUAAAUGUGUAAUAGCUUCUGUCUUUACAUGGUAGUGUUGAAGUACACAAUGAAUUUGAUAUCAUUGUGGAGAGACUAAUUGAAUGGAAGUGAUAUUGCAUUACAAUGGUAAUCUUUGAUGAGGUGGGUUGUCUUGAUUUUAACUACCAAUCAAACAUCACUACACUUGAGAUGCUUUUUUUAUACAACUUUUUUGCAAGACAAAGAUUAUAUUUUUUACAUCUGUUUUUUUUUUUACCACAGUUACUGCUGAGGUGAUUGAUUAUGUUGUCAUGUAGGUGAAAUCUGAUUUGACAUAGACACUCUGAUACUAAAGGUAGGAGAUGAGGAGGUGACGUCUGGGUUAGUGAACCUGGAUGUGGCCUUUAGAAUUGCACCAGUUGACUCAACCCUGAUCUGUGUGACAAGACUCCCCUCCUCAGUUUAGUUUUAACACAUUUCAGAUAACACAAUCCCCCCAUGCUGUGGACCCCUAGUAUCAUGUUUCUGUCUAAAUAAGGCAUUUGAAUUCGCUCUUCUUAAACAUGGCAUUGUUUAUGUGUCAGAGAUUGCUUGUUUAAUGUCUAACCCAAAGGAAAUUACGGUAAUCAAAUAUCAUGCUGGGGCAUGAAUGAAAUACUGUAGUUUCAAACCAAAGGUAAACUACCUUCUCCUCCAAACAUUGUUCUUUACAAGCACAAUAAGGACUUUGCAUUGAAGAAAUAACAGUGGACAUCUCGAUCCAGGCAUCUAUCUUCCGGUUAUCAGAGCCAUGUAUAGAUCUACCCUGUAUAUGGCUUUGUCGGAUAUGAUACCAUGACACUAACCAGCAGGCUGAGAACAGGGAUGAAUACCAAAGUCUUCCAGGAUAUAGGAAGGAUUUUGUGAGUCACACGCUUACACCUUCAGAUCAAUUUGUAUAAAGCUUUGAUGAUCUGGCUAACCUAGUUGAAACAUUAAUGCAAGAAGAGCCAAGAACAAACCAUGUGUUUGUGUUGAUGAUGUAGCUAAUGUUUGAGUUGAAUGAUUCACAUCCACUGUAUGUAUCUCUUUCUCUCUUUCCUUUGAGUCGAUAGUAAUGAUUAUGUCUUAUGUUUAACUAGUCCGCUUUAUUGAAGGGGAAUCUGAACACCUAGUUCCUUAUAGAUUGGAGCCAGAUGCAUUGUGAUAGAUUUUUCUUACAGUUCUCUAUUCGUUCAUUCACAAAUGUCGGUGGAUUUAUUGAACUUAAUUGGGUUUAUUCUGAUGAGACAUGUGUAUACUGUAACCACAAAGGACAAUCACCCUUAGAAUCCACACAGUUAGUGCUGGUGAAAGCAUGUUUGCAACUACAUUGUUUGUAUUAUGAAACCUUGGGUGGAACAGAAGAAAAUGAAGAAGAGGAGUGAGGUUCAAAGCUAGUCUAGUGACUGGUGUCUGGAGAACAUUUUGUCUACUCCUUUGGUUGUUGCACAAGUUCCUUCAUCAAUGGAAGAUGGCGAUACAGAACAGUGCCCUGGCGGUAGAGACACUAAUCAAUAAAGAAAAAAGGAAUUAAAAGACAGCAAUAUACUGUAUUGGGUUUCUUGUUAAUAUUUUUACUCCAUUUAAAACAGUGUAACAUCGGCUUCAAUAUCAAAUAAAAACAACUGUC